rnacentral:sRNA from 1 species
CCCGCUCGGUUCCGCCCGCUGUAGC